rnacentral:rRNA from 1 species
CGCUCUUUGAUAUUGCAGAUAAAGAGUCGAGCCUGCCCAGUGAUAUAUUUAACGGCCGCGGUACUCUGACCGUGCAAAGGUAGCAUAAUCAUUUGCCUCAUAAUUGGGGGCUUGUAUGAAGGGUUUGACGAAAACAAUACUGUCUCUUUUUAAUUUUAUAAAAUUUGAUUUUUAGGUGAAGAAGCCUAAAUAAAAUUGAAAGACAAGAAGACCCUAUCGAGCUUGAAAAGAUUUUAUUAAGUAAAAUGAUAAUAAAAAUCAAAUAUAUUAAAAGAUUUUAGUUGGGGCGACUUGGGAACAUAUAAAGCUUCCCAUUUUUAGUAUUAGGCGUAUUAGCUAUGAUCCAAAAUUUUUGAUUAAAAAAAUUUAGUUACCGUAGGGAUAACAGCAUAAUCUUUUUUGAGAGUUCUUAUCGAAAAAUAGGUUUGUGACCUCGAUGUUGGACUAGAAUAUCCUAAAUGAUGCAGAAGUCUUUAAGGGUUGGUCUGUUCGACCAUUAAUAUUCUACGUGAUCUGAGUUCAGACCGGA